CUACGAAAACGGAAUAACCAUGCACCAUGUGGGUGUGCGCACCGCCUCCAAGAAACUGCUCAUAUCAGCACCCGCUCGGAUGCUUUAUCUCUGAACCUACCUCAAGUCAGCAGAGGAUGUUCCACUACAGAAAGUAAAUUCGUCGUCCCAAAUCCUCACAAGGAAACUGGACAAAAGAGAGAUCAUUGGUUUCCAAGCUACCCACACCAAGUCGUAAGAAGCUCAAGAGUCGCCUAUCCACCACCAAAGUUUACCAGGCGGACAAAUGCAAGCCUUAUACUGAAAAGCAGUGAUAGUGUACGGCAUGUUGAAGCAGUACGAAAUUGGGUCCACAAAUUAUUGCUUCUUGCUUCAUGAAUUACUCAGUUUAGAAGAAAUGUGCUGGCUUCAAAUUUCUUAGAUAGUGCAUGUGAUGGGGUGCACAUACUGUACUUUAAUCUACGUGUGAAACUUUGCAUAGAGUAUCACAUGUAACUUGGUAGCAAGUGGGCCAGUAGUAGUGUACAUUUAGCAGCACUU